GUUUAUUUAUACAUUAUAAUAUAAUAUAUAUUAUAAGUACAUACCAUUAUCCGAGACCUAUAUAUGCAUAUAAACAUAUUUUACACAAUUUUUAAAUAAUUUUGCAUGUGAAUAAUAAAUUUCGCAUACCUUUCAAACGCUGCAGUAUGCGUAAAUAAAUGUUCUACUUCAUUGUUUGCAUAAUAAACUCAUGUCUUAACUCGUGUCACACCAAACUGGAAUGAAAAUAUUGAAAUAAUAAAAUGGAAAAAUCUCCAGCCAAUAAUAUUACUACCGUUAAUGUAUUAUUAUUUCGUAACUCUGACCAACCAGUCCGAGUCGACUGCGUUUUUGUGUACUUGCGGGUACCUACCUUCGUGUUUUAUGCCGCCGCUAAAAAUAUAUUAAGACGGCGUUUUGUAUAGGCAUUUUAUGUGCAUCCGUGAGUUCCAUUGACUUAGUACUAAAGAAUGAUGAUAAAAUUAUACUUGUGAGUAGUUGUGCUCUGAGAAAACGAAUUGAUUUUUAUUUUGAAAUUGAUUCCAAAAUAUUAAAUUAUUUAGCAUUCCAGAGCCGUUAUUCGGGGGAUCCAUCGAUAUCAAAUAUAUUUUUUUUCUUAAUUUAUAAAUUUGUUUUUUAAAAAUAAAUAGAUUUUGUUAAUGCACAAUUGUACAGAUUUUUUCAUUGUCAAAAAUUCGUUGAAACUAAAAAAAUCUCAUGUCAAAUGAAAACAAAAAUAAACACAAUGGUAAAAAAUAAACAUUUCUUUUAUUAACCGAUUAAAUAUACAUUUAUUUUUUUGGUUAACUUGCAACAAUUGUUAUAAAACAUUUACCAUAGUUUUGAAAGUGUUCACAUUUCUAUAUACGCUUUUUGGUUUCCACGCAUUAAAUGAACACCUAUCGUUAAGAUGUAUAUUAUUGUUAAUUGUGGAAAAUCAACGACCAGUACCCACGCCUAAUGGCGUUAUGUAUAAUGCACACUCACAUACACAAAUACAUACAAAAUACAAAUACCUAUAUACCUAUAUAUUAUACAUAAUAUGCGUUUAUAGAUGAUGUAUUGAAUAACGGCGGUCGUUAAGAGAAAAAAAAAUUUUCUACGGGUUAUAAUGUUAUGAGUGAAAGGCAAUUACGAACGUCUUUUUUAUAUUGGCGUGAAAAUCCAACACGGAAAACCAACAGAAAAUUCGUUGUCGUCUACAAAAGCAGUAGCACGUUUACAUAUAUAUGUAUAUAUAUAAUAUUAUCCCGAACAACCGGAUGAUGGUGGCCGUCUAUAUAAAUAACACGCAUGCACGCGUAUAUAAUAGAAAGUUACGAUAUAAUAAUGUCACCGUUAAAUGAUUUUUAGAUCAUUUAUAUUUCGUGCGUGCGUCCGCCACCCGUCGUCAUCAAAACGAUUUGAACGCGCGCUGGUUAACGAUUUCAACUUUCACGGCUCAUUUGAAUAUCAAUUAAAAAUCUCGCGAAUGUCACGCCUCGAGAGCGCAUAUCGCGCGCGGCGCCGGUCCGUUUGCUGUUCGGCUGCUGCAGUGUCUAUAUAUAAUAAUGUGUAUACAUAUAUAUAUAAAACGUAUACACGGUUAUUAUUUAUUCGUCAACUGGAGCGUAUAUCAAAUAGACACAUGCUUACCUGCCUACCUGCCUAACUAUACACAAACACAGUUGCGAUGAGAGAAAGUCCGCUAUCGUUACCGGGCAAGUUUAAAAAAUAAAUAAAAUUCCCACAGUAAUAAUAUGCAGGUAAAUAUAUACAUGACAUAAUCCGUCGAAGAUGCAAUGCUGCUUGACCGUUUUUCUUUUCUUUUUUUUUAUUUGUAAUCGUUUCUCUUUCGUCUCUAACGCGAAGAUAGAAUAUAUAUAUAUAGAUGCGUAUAUUAGGUAUAUGUAUUAUGUAGGUACCUAUUUACUAUUUGUUAGAUUCUUUGAUAUAAGCUCACACUCACGCCCUAAUCCUAGCACUGUUUAUAUACAUGUGACUAUAUAAACCAUAUAUACACGUGAUGAGAAAGAAAUAUUCACAUUAUAAAAAUGUGUAUUAAAAUAAUAUAAUUGCAGUUACAUGUUUUAUGCAUAUCAAAUAUUGAAAUAUCACAAAUCGGAAUAUUAUUUGAAUAAGAGUAUAUAAGUAUAUUAUGUUUUUAUAAACAUCACAUUAUUAUGUGGAGACGUUGUAAAUUAUUGUGAUCACAACUCCUCGGCCAUAGGGCCAUAGUAUACAUUUACAGAUUUUCGUUAAAUCAAACCAUGUUUAACAUUUAAGAAAUUAUACUAACAUCAGCGACCAAAUUACAAGUAUGUUUCAAUCAUAAAUAUUUAGUGUGAUGUAUUAUUAUAAUAACUUUUCUUAUACAAGCUUAGCUUUCAUUUUGUUUUACAAGUACACUACAGUCUACAAUGUUGCAUUAAUAUUGAGUUCCGAGUGACAUAGACAAUAACUGAUCAUUUAAUGAAUGAAUAGUAAACCUAAAAUAGUCCAUUAUAGAUAUUUUAAACAUGAUUUAAUGGCCCAUGAUUGGUCCAUUAAGUUUUAGUGAACCGUUUUAAGUUAACCAAUUUUGUAUGCUACUGUUUAACAUUAUUCAUAUAAUAUACAAGUACAUCGUACAUGUGAAACCGUUUCAAAUCGUCAAAAUCUAUAGUUUUCAUAGAAUUCUAUCUCUAUAUUUACAUAGUGUCAUUGUUAUAAUACUGCAGUAUUAUACUCGAUAUAAAACCAUAGUUCUAAAAAAACGCAUAAAAGGUAUUAGGUUUUCAUCUGGGCCGCGUUCUAUUGACUUUCUCUACCAACUAUAUUUCUGCCUUCACAAUAUUAUAUUUAAGACACUACGUCAACAUACUACGUAUUUUGCGUGAUCUAUUCCGUGGGUAGGCAGUACGCGCGUGUGUAUGUGUGUGUGUGUGUUGUAUUUGUUUAAAGUUUUUUGGAUUCGCACAUACCAUAUAUAUAUAUAUAUAUCAUAUUAUCAGAGUGAAAUCAGAAGCGCGCACUUUUUUCAAUGUUUACGCAUUGGUGUGCACUAUGUGAUAUAAUAUAUCCAUUAAUUUUCUUUCUUCUAUCUCCCUCUCUCUCUCCUCUCUUCUUUUGGUGUCUUGACGGGUGUGAAAUUUGACGUUUCACGAUUUCUCUGCUUUCUUCCGUCAUCGCUCGUUAAAACGAAAGACGACAAAUAAGAAAAUAAUGAGGAAAAAAAUGCGUAUACAAAAUUAGCAUGUAUAUAAAACACCAGCGGGUGGGUUUGCCUUCGCAUUCAGUCGUCACCAUUCAUCGACGCUGCGGCGGUCACGGCAGCUGCUCAGUCGAGAUUAGUAUAUUGUCCUAAUUAUCAGUUAUAAAUUACAAUAAUAACAAUAAAUGGUUAUUGGACGAAAAUACUAAUUAAACUAAAUAAUAAUUAUAUAUUGUUUACUGCAGAUACUGGUCGCGAACUCACGUUUUGAAACGCCCUGGAAAUCGCAACAGUCUCGCUAAGUCCUUUAGCUGCACACUAUACUAUUUGGACCAAAUGGGAUUUUCAUAUAUUCUCAAAAACAAACAUUACUCAUUUUAUUUUUUAAUAAAUUGUUCGAAUAAUAAUAUAUAUAUAUAUGAUGUAUAUAAUAUGGACAUCAUAUUAUGAAGGUAUGUAAUAUUUCGCUCUUAUAUUGAUCAUCGAUUUAUACAUGACGAGGUACUUCAGUUUAAUAUUGCUUCGUACAAAAGAAAAAAUAGUCAACAACUACGAUCUUUUCGAUAGCUAAUUCUACUAUAUUGUAAAUAACUUAUUUAUUCGAUUAAUAUUUUUAGUUAAUCAAUUAAUUACGGAUUUAAAAUUAUAAAACUAAAUUAUUUUAAAUUAUGUAAUGAAAUUUUACUAUAUUUAAACAUAAUAUAUAAUUUAUAUCAAAAACGCGUAGCUAUAGUGUAUCUUAAAGUCACUUGCUAAGGUGCACAUGUAGAUAAAUUAUUGUUUUUUUUUUAAACAUGGCUGUGAUAAAAUAAUUUUUUGCGAUCCUUAUAUUUUUUUCCCGACGGUUUUUAUCUAAAAUGCUGUUUAACAAAAACGACACCGUGGGACUUUUAAAACUUCAAGGCCAGCAAUUAACUUUUUAUUGAAAAAAUUACAUAGUUGAAAUAUCAAUUUAUUAUUUUUCAUAAACUAUUUAUAAUACAUACUAUACUGUUAUAACCAAUAUACUUAAAUUAUUUCCCAUUUAUACUUCUACAGCAUAAGUAAACAUACAACUUAACUACUAUACUAACAACAAUGAUUUUUCUUUGGAACUGUAUACUAUAAUAUAGUGUAUUAUAAAUAUACAAUAUUUAACUUUUACGUUUACUUAAUACGUUUGUACAUGAAAAUUACUAAUCAAUAUAUGAAACAUACGGAUUUUUGUUUUAGAAGAAAAUAAUGUCUACCUACUAACGUAACUGCACAUAGCAGAUAUAUUAAUUACUUUACACGUACCUACUUGCUGUAUAAAUAAAUAAAUAUUUUUUUAAACA